rnacentral:rRNA from 1 species
UACGAAGGACCCGAGCGUUAUCCGGAUUCAUUGGGUUUAAAGGGUGCGUAGGCGGAUUGAUAAGUCAGUGGUGAAAGCCUGAUGCUUAACAUCAGAACUGCCAUUGAUACUGUCGAUCUUGAGUACAUUUGAAGUGGGCGGAAUGUGUCAUGUAGCGGUGAAAUGCUUAGAUAUGACACAGAACACCGAUUGCGAAGGCAGCUCACUAAACUGUAACUGACGCUGAGGCACGAAAGCGUGGGGAUCAAACAGG